rnacentral:sRNA from 1 species
GACUGUCGAAACGUCGCAUGCCCUACCUCUCAUGCGACCAUAUGGCUCCUGGGCCACGCCUGUUGUGAAUCGUGGGAAAGUCUAAGAU